ACGGGAUGAGAUCUUCCUGACCCCCAACCUCUCCCUGCCCCUGUGGGAGUGGAGGCCAGACUGGUUGGAAGACAUGGAGGUCAGCCACACCCAGCGGCUGGGAAGGGGGAUGCCUCCCUGGCCCCCUGACUCUCAGAUCUCUUCCCAGAGAAGUCAGCUCCACUGUCGUAUGCCCAAGGCUGGUGCUUCUCCUGUAGAUUACUCCUGAACCGUGUCCCUGAGACUUCCCAGACGGGAAUCAGAACCACUUCUCCUGUCCACCCACAAGACCUGGGCUGUGGUGUGUGGGUCUUGGCCUGUGUUUCUCUGCAGCUGGGGUCCACCUUCCCAAGCCUCCAGAGAGUUCUCCCUCCACGAUUGUGAAAACAAAUGAAAACAAAAUUAGAGCAAAGCUGACCUGGAGCCCUCAGGGAGCAAAACAUCAUCUCCACCUGACUCCUAGCCACUGCUUUCUCCUCUGUGCCAUCCACUCCCACCACCAGGUUGUUUUGGCCUGAGGAGCAGCCCUGCCUGCUGCUCUUCCCCCACCAUUUGGAUCACAGGAAGUGGAGGAGCCAGAGGUGCCUUUGUGGAGGACAGCAGUGGCUGCUGGGAGAGGGCUGUGGAGGAAGGAGCUUCUCGGAGCCCCCUCUCAGCCUUACCUGGGCCCCUCCUCUAGAGAAGAGCUCAACUCUCUCCCAACCUCACCAUGGAAAGAAAAUAAUUAUGAAUGCCACUGAGGCACUGAGGCCCUACCUCAUGCCAAACAAAGGGUUCAAGGCUGGGUCUAGCGAGGAUGCUGAAGGAAGGGAGGUAUGAGACCGUAGGUCAAAAGCACCAUCCUCGUACUGUUGUCACUAUGAGCUUAAGAAAUUUGAUACCAUAAAAUGGUAAAGACU
rnacentral:lncRNA from 1 species